rnacentral:rRNA from 1 species
UACGGAGGGUGCAAGCGUUAUCCGGAUUCACUGGGUUUAAAGGGUGCGUAGGAGGGCAGGUAAGUCAGUGGUGAAAUCCCCGAGCUUAACUUGGGAACUGCCGUUGAUACUAUCUGUCUUGAAUACCGUGGAGGUGAGCGGAAUAUGUCAUGUAGCGGUGAAAUGCUUAGAUAUGACAUAGAACACCAAAUUGCGAAGGCAGCUCGCUACACGAAUAUUGACUCUGAGGCACGAAAGCGUGGGGAUCAAACGG